GGGUUGUGAGGUUAAGCGACUAAGCGUACACGGUGGAUGCCCUGGCAGUCAGAGGCGAUGAAGGACGUGCUAAUCUGCGAUAAGCGCCGGUAAGGUGAUAUGAACCGUUAUAACCGGCGAUUUCCGAAUGGGGAAACCCAGUGUGUUUCGACACACUAUCAUUACGUGAAUACAUAGCGUAAUGAAGCGAACCGGGGGAACUGAAACAUCUAAGUACCCCGAGGAAAAGAAAUCAACCGAGAUUCCCCCAGUAGCGGCGAGCGAACGGGGAGGAGCCCAGAGCCUGAAUCAGCAUGUGUGUUAGUGGAAGCGUCUGGAAAGGCGCGCGAUACAGGGUGACAGCCCCGUACACAAAAGCGCAUGUGCUGUGAGCUCGAUGAGUAGGGCGGGACACGUGGUAUCCUGUCUGAAUAUGGGGGGACCAUCCUCCAAGGCUAAAUACUCCUGACUGACCGAUAGUGAACCAGUACCGUGAGGGAAAGGCGAAAAGAACCCCGGCGAGGGGAGUGAAAAAGAACCUGAAACCGU
rnacentral:rRNA from 2 species